rnacentral:rRNA from 1 species
UACGUAGGGGGCAAGCGUUGUCCGGAUUUAUUGGGCGUAAAGAGCGUGUAGGCGGCUAGGUAGGUCCAUUGUGAAAACUCGAGGCUCAACCUCGAGACGUCGGUGGAAACCAUCUAGCUAGAGUCCGGAAGAGGAGAGUGGAAUUCCUGGUGUAGCGGUGAAAUGCGCAGAUAUCAGGAAGAACACCCGUGGCGAAGGCGGCUCUCUGGGACGGUACUGACGCUGAGACGCGAAAGCGUGGGGAGCGAACAGG